GACAGAGGGUGCAAACGUUGCUCGGAAUCACUGGGCGUAAAGGGCGUGUAGGCGGGAAGGAAAGUCAGAUGUGAAAUCCCCAGGCUCAACCUGGGAACUGCAUUUGAAACUCCCUUUCUUGAGUACCGGAGAGGAAAGUGGAAUUCCUGGUGUAGAGGUGAAAUUCGUAGAUAUCAGGAGGAACACCAGUGGCGAAGGCGGCUUUCUGGACGGUAACUGACGCUGAGACGCGAGAGCGUGGGGAGCAAACAGG
rnacentral:rRNA from 1 species